GUCCUCCUUUGGCAGCACAUAUACUAAAAUUAGAAUGAUACAGAGAUGAUUAGCAUGGCCCCUGCACAAGGAUGAUAUGUGAAUUCUUGAAGUGUUCCAUAUUAUU
ensembl:snRNA U6 U6 spliceosomal RNA